CCUCGGGGUCGACGUCGGCGGCCCGGGGCGCUUCAGGCGCCUCGACGGGCGCGGGUUCGGCGUCUGCCGCGGGGG
rnacentral:tRNA from 1 species